rnacentral:lncRNA from 1 species
GUCCAAGACGCCUAGGACUCUACCAAAUUAAAUGCCGCCCAUAACCAACCAGAACUCACCCAGCUUUACAUGGUAAAAAAAUAUGAGAAAACCCUUCUUUCUUACAUGCUAAUUAGGGAGCAAAAGUUAGCAUUAAAAAGGUUUGGGGCAUGGGUCUUUUCGGCACACAAAUCAGGUUGGCGUGGACCUUGUUUUAUGGCGCAUGGAGGAAGAGUUUAAUUCUCUUAGGACUCUUAGAUUAGGUGGCUGUUUUAAAUC